GGAAGGAUCAUUAACACACCAAAAAAGUAUUAUCCACCUUUUUUGUUUUCAAAAAUUACUCGAGUUCAUUCUUGGGUAUUUUUGGAAAUAAAAAAAGCACCCUUGUGAAAAGUUAAAGUCUUUAACCAUAUUUCAUUAUAUGGUUAAACUUUUUUUAAAUCCCAUUGUCUGAAUAAUAAAUAGCUGAGAGUUGCUUUAAAGAAGAAUGAAUAGAAAUAUUUAUUUUAUUUAAAACCAAUUCUUGAGUAUGCAGUAACCGAGACACAACUUUUAACAACGGAUAUCUUGGUUCUCGCAACGAUGACGAGCGCAGCGAAAUGCGAUACGUAGUGUGAAUUGCAGAAUUCAGUGAAUCAUCGAAGUCUUGAACGCAUAUUGCGCCUGCAAGUCCUCUUGCAGGCAUACCUGUUCGAGUGUCGACUCUAAUCUCACACCAAAAAAAAGAAAUUUGUUUUUGUGUUGUGGUAAAAAUGAGUUGUCUGGGGAUUUAAUUAUUUCUAGUCACUUGAAAUGGAGUGGUUUUUUAGGGGUGUCAAAUUGUUAAGAGAUCUUCUCUUGGUUUUGGCUUCCGAAAGUGUGAUAGCAUGCUUUUUUUAAAGUGUGAAAUUCUCUUUUGGACCGUUACCACUCUUUUUUUUCUUUACUGAAAUAUAAAAGAAAGGAGUUGAUUUUAAACAAUACUUUUAAAAAACUUCGAAGGAAAGGAGGGGGAUAAAAAGGGGGUGUGUGUUGGGUUGUUUUACUACUUCUCAUUCCCACUCUUCUACUUUUCCCCUUUCCAAUUUAAAUCAAUAAAACCUUCGACCUCGAAUCAGGUAAGAAUACCCGCUGAACUUAAGCAUAUUAAUAAGCGGAGGAAAAGAAACUAACUAGGAUUCCCUCAGUAACUGCGAGUGAAGUGGGAAAAGCUCAAGCUUAAAAUCUGAGGCGGUUUUUUACGUCUCCGAAUUGUAGUUUUGUGAACGGCUUCCGGGUAGACUGCUGUGUUAUAAGUUCCCUGGAACGGGACGCCGAAGAAGGUGACAGCCCUGUGUAAUGAAUGCGGAAGGGUCUACCAAUAACGUGCUGCCAGUUCGAAGAGUCAGGUUGUUUGGGAGUACAGCCUAAAGUGGGAGGUAAAUUCCUUCUAAAGCUAAAUAAUGGCGAGAGACCGAUAGCGAACAAGUACCGUGAGGGAAAGAUGCAAAGAACUUUGAAAAGAGAGUUAAAAGUGCUUGAAAUUGUUAAAAGGGAAGCGAUUGGAGGCAGUACCUGCUCGCUGUUGACUCAUUUGCUGUUAGGAUUUUUGGAAUUGUGUAGAAGAGUGGUCCUUCGUGGUCAUCGCUGCAUGGUUUCCUGGAGGUUCAAACGGUAGAGCAUUUCAGCAGUGAGUGCGUCAGCAUCAGUGAGGGAAGUGGGAUAAUGGUUAGAAGGAGGUGCCGAGGUAGUAGUCCUUGAGAUUAUUACAGCGGGUUACAACUUUUAGCAGAUACCAUUUCGUUUUUUUCACUGAGGGAUCUUAAAGAUCAUAAUCAGCGCCUCUUUUGGCAGGGUAAGAGUAGGUUAUGAGUUUUGUUGACGGGAAGGACAGCUUGCUGUGUUUUCUGAUCAUUGAGAUUCAUCAAUUUAUUCACCGCUUAAUCUGAUUAGAGAUGCUGACCAAAUGUUUCCAAUCGUCCCGUCUUGAAACACGGACCAAGGAGUCUAACAUAUGUGCGAGUGAUUGGGUGGCAAACCUAGACGCGUAAUGAAAGUGAGAGGUGGGAGUCCCUAAAAAAGACGCACCAUCGACCAAUUUGGAUAUUUUUGGAUAGAUUUGAGUAGGAGCGCAUCUGUUGGGACCCGAAAGAUUGCGAACUAUGCUUGCAUAGGGUGAGGCCAGACGAAAGUCUGGUGGAGGCUCGUAGCGAUACUGACGUGCAAAUCGUUCGUCAAAUGUGAGUAUAGCGGCGAAAGACUAAUCGAGCAAUCUAGUAGCUGGUUUCCUC
rnacentral:misc_RNA from 1 species